rnacentral:sRNA from 1 species
GGAAGGGAGAGAAAUCACACACUUUGAUCUUCGCAAAAAGCAAGCCAUGGAAGACAGCUCUGUUCCUCACUGCCCCUGAGCUCCCUGCCGGCCACCUACUGCAGCUUCCGGCAGAUCUCAACCAGCAGCCUCCACGUCCUCACUUGAAGUCAUCCUCACCCAGGUUCACUCUGGGGAGGCCGCCCUUGGGCCUUUCUCUACGGCUGCAGCUGCCACUUGUCCAGCUGGUUUCUCUUCCUCACUCUACCAGGAAAUGCUUUCCUUAAACGCUUUCUGCAGGGCAGGGUCUCAUUUCCUCGGCUUGGAGAGUAGCUGGUGGGUGGGACCCAAGCUCUCACUUUCAUCCCCUUUCUGGGACAGCGCCCCGAAGGAGUGUGACUCACACAGCAGUGGAUGUGCUUGGUCUUGCAAAAUGUGAAGUGCGUCCUGGCUCUUCCUGCCCAAAGACGGGCCACAGAGUCUCCCCGUGCUCCCUUCCAACCUGUUCCCAUUGACUCCAACUUUCACCAUGCUGGACCUGAACCAGCCCGAAACAGUCUCCAGGGAAGCUAUGCACCAGGGAGAGGAGGCAAGUCCAAGGCCUUCCAGAUGGGGAAAGCAGCAGCAGCGGCAGUUGAGUGAUCAGACACUUGAGUCUCCCGGGACCCUGACACCGUCCUGGGAAUCACCUUCUUAUGUGGCCACACUGUGGACUGUCAACUAUACCUGCCUGGAUUAAACAAGCAUCUUUUGAGGACUUGCAACCUGGGAGGCAGGGAUUAUCACGUCCCCCAUUUUACAGACGAGGAGCACUGAGCCCCAGAGAAGUGCAGUGGCUUGCCCAAGUCCAUGUAAUUGAGGCUCCCACCUCCAUGUCCAGAGCAGAGGCCAACUCCAGCCAGACCCUUGGAAAUGCCACCAUGGAGAAAUACUUCCCUGCCCCCUUCACCUGGGUCACAGGCUACUUUGCCAUGGUGGUGGGCGCCAGCAUGACCUUUGUGGUCCAGAGCAGUUCUGUGUUCACCUCGGCCAUCACCCCACUCAUCGGUCUUGGUGUGAUCAGCAUUGAGAGGGCCUACCCGCUCACACUGGGUUCCAACAUCGGCACCACCACCACGGCCAUCCUGGCUGCCCUGGCCAGCCCCAGGGAGAAGCUGUCCAGCGCUUUCCAGGUGCGCUGGGAGUGUAGCCUCGCCUGGGGCAGGAUGGAGCUGCCUCUGGGGUGUGGGGCCUGACAAAGGUGUGACAACAUGGAACAAAUAUUUUGACUGCCUACUAAGGGCCACCUAAUAUGCUCAAUGAAACCAUUAUGGGCAAAGUAGACCCAAUACCACCCUCGAGACCUUAGCAUCUAAUAGGGAGACACUGCUCAUAAUUACACCAAUAAAUAGCAGUGAGUCGGAUUUGCACCAUAAGGAAGAGGAAGAGGAAGAGGCACUACAAAAGAGGGCCUGGAGCAGUUUGGGGAAUCCAUUGCGGGGGUCAAGGCCGCAAAUGGCAAAGGGGAAUUAUUCUAGGAGCAAAGGAGUAACUGACAAGCCAAGGCACUGACUGAAUGAGGGUCCAGAAACUGACAUCAAUCCUUUAGCUGCUGGAUUUUGGCAGUAUCUGCUGGGGGAUUCCUGUGCGAGGGGUCAGUGGGGAAAAUGUGGGGAGCUCAGGGCAGUAGUUAUUUACCAACUGGUCUAGAAGUAUUUCAAUAUUUGCAUAGCCAGCAUAGCCACCUCGGGGUGAUCUCGGGGCAGGGGGCACAUCACCCCUAAGUGGAAACUUUCCUGCUGCCCAGACCAGAUCGGGGUUCCUAUCAUCUACCCCUGCUGGCCUGACACAGGACCUGGGAGCCAGUGCCCAUCUCAGCCCCUCUGCCUCAUCCCCUGCAGAUUGCCCUCUGUCACUUCUUCUUCAACAUCUCGGGUAUCCUUCUGUGGUACCCGGUGCCCUGCACACGCCUGCCCAUCCACAUGGCCAAGGCGCUGGGGAAACGCACGGCCAAGUACCGCUGGUUUGCCGUCCUCUAUCUCCUUGUCUGCUUCCUGCUGCUGCCCUCACUGGUGUUUGGCAUCUCCAUGGCAGGCUGGCAGGUCAUGGUAGGUGUGGGCACGCCCUUCGGGGCCCUGCUGGCGUUCGUGGUGCUCAUCAAUGUCCUGCAGAGUCGGAGUCCCGGGCACCUGCCCAAGUGGUUACAGACAUGGGACUUCCUGCCUCGCUGGAUGCACUCCCUGAAGCCCCUGGACCACCUCAUCACCCGCGCCACCCUAUGCUGUGCCAGGCCUGAGCCCCGCUCACCCCCGCUGCCCCCCAGGGUCUUCCUGGAGGAGCUACCCCCUGCCACACCCUCCCCCCGUCUUGCACUGCCUGCUCACCACAAUGCCACCCGCCUCUAGGCAGUGGGCCCAGACUACAGCCUGGAAUGGGGAAGGCCUGGGGUGGAAAGGCAGGGGAGGGAGGGUGUGUGUAGGUAUGUGCAUGUGCCUGUGCCACCCUGGGUGCCAGUCUCUCCUUCUGUAGCUCCGCAAAGCUCUGGGCUUGUGUGAGAGUGUCGGUGUGUGUGCAUGUGUGGGGGUGAGUCUGCAUGUGCACCUGUCAUGUGUAGAAGCUUGUAUUUGUGUACAGGUGUGCCAGCCCAUGCACGUGUACACAGACACACCUGUGGGAGGCUGUGUGCAGGCUGCAGGAUAUCUGGGUAUGAUUUCAGGUCCUCUGCACGUGUACACAUGACUAGGAUAGGCAGGAGUGAGGGUGGGUCUGGGUAUAUGACUGUGCAGCUGUUUGUGCAUAGAUGUUGGUGCCUGCGUUACUGAAUUUGCACACCUCCUUGCCACUUUCCUUCCUCCAAGAUACCAUCUCCUCAUCCUAACCCAGGUCUUCAGCACCACCACAAUUAAUUCCCUUCCCAACACUUGCCUGAUGGAAAAAAAACAAAGGAAUUAAAACUCUC